CCUCCUCCCCCCGCUGUGUGAGAAGAGGAGCUCCGCAGCAGCAGCACAGGAGGACCGUGAGUCCGGUGGAGUAAUCGUUCCCUGCCCCGGCUGUUCUACUGCAGACCCCGCGGACGUGUGACGGAGAACAGAAGACAUGGGGGUUCCUUCAGCCGAGGGCGUCGCUAGUUGUAGGUGAAAAAAAGAAACGCUUUACGUUAGGUGAAAUGCGGUGACACGCCAUUAACCGCCUUGUUUGUGUCGGUAUUCUGCGUGGUUUCACGUGGUCUGGAGCACCGUUAUCACCGCCGGUGCUGUGGCGCCUCUUGCUACCGUGUUGGUUGGGGGUAACGCUCUUCCGAUACCGCCCGUACCACCACCCGUACUACUACCCGUACCACCACCCGUACCACCACCCGUACUACCACCCGUACUACCACCCGUAACCCAGAUUUGAGAAGCAAACUGGAGUCAUCACUUGAAAGAUUGCUUUGCAAGCGAUGUCAUCUGGAAGUCCACAAAGCCAAGGAGGAUUCUAUUCUGCAUUCCCACACCGGAGUAACGUCGGCGCUCGGCCAUCAGCUCAGGCCAUCAAUGUUACACCUGUGCCAGUGGCUCACCCUGAAAAUGAAAUACAAUACAACAUGGUAGCCUCUCAGUAUCCUGGAGAGCUUGGAGUGGCUUACAGCCCUGCUCGGUGGCAGAAAAGCUUUGCACAAUCACAACAAAAUUCACAGGGACUCCACCACCAACAGGAGUCGGUGGUAGGUACAGUGAGCUCUGGAUCCCAGCCCCCAAUAAUGACUAAUCCUACGACUGACCUCUGUUCACCAGCACACAUCUCUGCACAGCACAGCGGCUAUUUUGGGACAUCGGUCAAUGGUUACUCUGUAAGACAAUCUGUUAAUAACGGUGGACAACAAAGGGAAUGUUCUAAGGGAAAUUGUAGUCUGAAAGGGUCAUAUUUGAACAAGAACACUGGACAAGGAAAACAUUUGAAUUCUGCAGCACUCCAGGGAGACAGACUUGAAGUAGCACAGACAUUCCCUCCAAAGGUUCAGUGUUCUUCUCUGAAUAUACGGAAAAAUUGUCCACUGAUAUUUGACUUACUGACACGAAACCCGUCUGAAUCCAAUUCCUCUACCACCACGUCUUCUUCACCAGAGGCAACCAACAUGGCACUCAAUACUGCUGCUCAUUUUCCAGGCAGAAGACGCCAUAAAGGUCUGCAAGUAACUGGUUCACUCGCUUCUCUGAAUGGGGGACAGACAAGAACACAACACCUACAUUCAGGAGGAGCUCCUUCCACCCCCAUCAGCAGACUCUCACCCGUCAGCCAUCCACAGACAAAGUCCUGUCAGUUGGAGAAACGGAACCACCUACAAAUGUCGAAAUACAUGCAUUUAUUGCAAAUAGGCUUGCAUAUUUUUGUGACUAUUUAACUCAGAAAAAACGAAUUGAUGGACAUUCCGAUAAGGGGUUGGGCAGGGACCCCAGACUGCAGUCAAUGCAGUCCCAUCUCCCCACAACCUCUACCUCUAGAGAAGAAAAUAUGGCGAGGCAGAGUCUGAACUGUGCAGUGGCUGAGGCGUGCUCCGCUGCAGUUGGACAAGCAUUUGAAGAGGACCGUUCAAAAGGGUGCCAAGCAAAUGCUGAGUUAAUGCCCCAGUUUAACGGGACGGAAGAUUGUGCUACAUCUGCAUCAGAGAAACAUUCAACAGAAUAUCCACAGAUAAUGCUGAAAGUUGCUGCCACUUGUACAAAGAAUGAAGAUGAGAGUCCAGGGGUUCUGUCAGCAGUGCCUGGAAUGACCUGGGAUGACAUGAGGGAGAAGCAACCAACUUCAAUGCUCAACCGCAGCUCGUCACAAGAAGAAUGCUUGAAGAAAAGUCUUCUUGUUGCUAUGUUAAAUAGCAACAAGAAGACUUUAGAUGACAUAAACCAAGUGCCUGGUGUUUCAUGGGCUCUCAACCACACGACAGAGAGGGAGAAGGGAUGUUCAGCCCUUAAACCCGUGGAGACAGUAGGGUUGGACCGUGCGCGAGGUAUGGCUGCUGUCUCAAAGGAUCUUCAAACAAGUUCCGUGGUGUCUGGAAACGGAACAUUUGGAUCCUCAGGACUCACUGAAAAUCGAAAUGCAAAAAGAAAAAUCACUGAGGAUCAACAACAACGCGGCGUUGCCUCCAAGGAAGCAACUGCACAUUCUGAGCUAAAUUUGGUCCGUAAAAUUUCGCUACAUAAUAUAUUAUCAAUUCCUACAAAGCAAAGUGAGCGGCUGAGCGGGCAAACAAGUCGUGAAGGUGCGAGAAAGGAUGUGAGUUCUGCGUGUUCACAAACUAGUGUAAGCAGAGCAGUGCCUGAAACUAAGUUACAAAAACCUGCCCCGCUGUGUGAAAGCAAGGUCGAGGAAGCACGUCCACUGUAUGAAGACAUUUCAGAUGAUGACCCGUCACAGCUGGCCACUGACCUACCAAACAUGGAGCGUGGAGAACUAAGCUCUGCUGCAGGUUCUGAAGGCCCACAGUACAAAGAUAUAAGUGAAGCAGGAAGUCAGGCUGAGUCUAAGGCUAUAGAGAAAACUAUACCCUCUCUCGUGGCUGCACCCAACAACAGGCUGUCACCGUUUGAAAAUGGAGGCUAUGAACACGUGCAGGGUCAAGCUCGGAUGAAGACUGAUACACAUGUUGUGGCACAAGGUUGUUCUUGUUCAUGUCUUGAUGAUGUUUUUGAAAUUAAAUUGUGUCCUAAAUGUGAGUGUGGGAGACGGACAAACCCCUCUGGUUCAUGUAGUCCUUCCUCUGUUUUGAAAGAUGAAGACGGGACUGAUGAUGAGAUGGAUGAUGACCAUUUAGUCAUACCCAUAAGCAUAUUCAGCCUUCAAUAUGAAACAGACGGGGAUAGCCCCGAAACGAACGUUCCAGAAGGUGGGGAAACGGGAGACCAAGGAAGACAGUGUGGCAUAAGUCCAACAUCUCCAAAUCUUGCACCAGCUACUGCUUUCCCCCCGGUUCCUGUGUUUGACACACAGGAGUGCUUUCUGCAGGCUGUGCAAAGUGAGACUGUAUUUGAGGUUGCAUUAGGCAGGAGCCCCUUGAACAUGUAAUGGACUCUGAGAGAGAUGUGCAGACACCUCGGGAGAGAAGAGAGUCCAUAGACAGCUGUGAGACGGAAGACAGUUGUGAUUACUCAUCUGCAUCAGAAUGCAACUUUCUGACAGUGUCCAGGGAGAUGUUGAGGAAAAGCUCAGCACUAGUGCACUCGGAGACGGAUGACCCUCAGUCUGAAGAAGAGGGUGAGGGCAAUCAGGUUACAGAUAUGCAAGAAGACCAACCGAGGAGCAUGGACAAGUUCCCCAGUAUGCAAAAACCUGGAGAGACGAUUGAAGCCACAGCCGACUGCUCUGAGCGGGAUGAUAUAAUCGUUAUUUCUGACACGGAGGAUGAAAGUGAUCAAAAAUGGCCCAAAAUGCCAAAAAGAAAGAGGAAAAGGUUAGUCUUUUCAGACUCAGAGGAUAGUGACGAUGCCCCAUGCAGUCAACAAAAGAGACAUUCGACUGGAACCGUCCCAAAAAGAUUCUAAAGGAGUAUGGACCCUCUGAAGAAAAGCUCCAAGGAGAACAGCUGGUUGGGAUUAAAGCUGGCUCUGAGCAUGAAUUACACAAGGCCAACAGACAAAUGACGCCUGUGGACAGCCUUUGUGGAACUGCUGAGACAAAUUCUCAAAAAAACAAAUUGUCAUCUGAAGUCCCGACAGAGGAGCAGCGCGUGAUGAAGGAGGCGGACUCCCAUUCGAGUUCCCAUCCUGGGAUUUCUCGCUUAUUUGUGAACCCUUUUGGACCCAAAGGACGCUUGAAACUUCUAAACGAACCUAGAGUCCACACGCGGGGGAAAGAUGGAACUCGGUCCCCAGAGACCUCAAGCAAAAAGACAGAUUCCUGUGAAAAGAAUAGAGCACAUUUGUACAAAAAUAAACAACGAAGAUUCCUGCUCACACCUAGACCUGUAAAUGAUAAUUACCAAGCGACAAAGAAUAAAGUUCAGGCCAACGUACGAAAACCCGCGAUGGUGGCAAGACAGCUUUCCUUACCUAAUCAAGGUUUGUCUCCAUCAGAAGAAACCGCUUCCUCCUCUGGUCUUCCAUCUAUUCCCAGACAACGUUCAUUUCCGACCAAACUGCAGCGGUCUCACUCUUCCAGCGGCCCCUCAACAUCAACGCACACUCCCACAAAAGGACCAGCAUCAACCAUGCAAUCAAAUGUAACUGGCAACACAAAGGAACAAGUGAAUAGCCAUCGCCCAAUCAGGAGGGACAGAAACAACAGCCUGGAGAUGCAGGACGACUUCAGACGAGGACCUGGUCACCACCACAGGGCCAGCGGGGACAGGGCACCCAGAAGGAGGCCCAACUCCCACAAGCCUGCAACAACCCUGAUGAAGAGAGCCACUAAUGAUGCCAAAGAGUUGACAAGGGCCACUAACCGGUUCCCCCCCAAAAAAACAAGAUACUCUGUGGGUGAAGGUUACAAGUGGUCAGAGCCAAAGCCAACAAAAGGUUCCAGCCGGGAGGAGAAGGGUAGAGCCCCUCCAAGACAUUAUCUGUGAGAAAAGAGUUCCAGUGUCUACGAAGCCGAGUCAAGUUUGUUUCACUUCCAAAAGGAACAGGAACUUUGAGCUUUUGAUUUUCCAAAACAUGUUCUGUGUUUUUACUGUUUGUGUGUGUGUGUGUAAAUACAUCUACUUUAAAUUUGUCAUACCAGCUGUUUGUGUUAAUGGCAGUGCUUUUGAAUGUUUUGGUGUCAAGUGUUCUUUCUACCAGCUACCUCAAAUAUAUUCACAAUCAGCAAUAAGUUGUUAAAUCUAUUUGCUCUUAUUGCAGUCCUUUUUUAUUUGUUUUACUUUGAAAACCCAGUUGUGAUUGCAGUGUUCUAAUGAGCAAUGUUGUAAGCAUUUUUAAAAUGUCAAUGUGAAAAUGCAUAAAAGUCUUAAAUCAAACCAAUGCUUCUGUUUCACCACCAGAGGGAGACAUUGCACAUUCACUGCACAAACAGUUGAUCUCCAUUUUAUAUCACAUACACACCAGUGUUAAACCUUAUGUUAUAACCUGCCACGUUAUAUUGAAAGCCAUUUAAACAUUUGAUUGAUACACUGGAUAUUCAUAUUAUUCAACUCUUUUAUCAAAAUGAGCAUUUCAGAUAGUAUGGUCUUCCUCAGACCAAUUAUCUCAUGUUUGCUAUUCAUAUGUGUUAGGCUUUUAAUUUCAGAUAUCCAGAAUUGCACUUUUGACCAUUCUGGAUAUCUGUAAUGGGAUUCUUACUAAGAAAACAAUUUUCAGAUAUCUACAAUCCAAGUGUGGCUAGUCAUAAUUUUAUCUUCAGAUAUCCUCAAUUCUACCAAAAAAUGUAAUUAUGAUGAGAAGGGAUGCAAUUGCGGGUAUCAACAAAUGUAAUGUUGACAUGUGUUGUGGAUACCCAGAGAGAUAAUAAUAUGCCCAUUAAGCUAACUCCAGGUAUGACUAGUAACAGUGGUAUUGUAGAUAUCUGAAAUGGGAGUUUUUUUGAUUAAGAAUUAUUUUACAGAUAUCCAGAAUGUUCAAAAAUGCUAUGUGGAUAUCUGAAAUUGAAAAAUAAGGGGUUUGGCUUUGAUGCAAAAAGGAUAAACUGACAUUAAAUACAUACUGUUACAAAACUUUGUAUUAUCAAUAUGAAUUAAUCAUUUUUUUAACACCUGAGGGCAAAGCCUUCUUAACUAAGUUUAACAAUCUUCAUGAUGCAAAUCUCCAUAAGAAUAUGUUACAAAGUUAAUUUAGGAAAUAUUAAGCAUAAAGGGGAAAAAAGAAAAAUGGGCUCUUGUAGGUUCCGAGGAACAGAAGUCUUCUAAAGGCGCAUGAAAUGACUGAAACAUUACACUGUGCGUAUGUAUGGUCAGGCUUUGCAGUCUUUUUGUUUUCAAAAUCUGGGUCAGAAGUGUAAGAGACUUUUAAAGAAAAAAAAAAACAAAAUUCUUUGAGAAAUAUGUUUAUUAGCAAGUGUGUUACAUGUGUGGCUAUAAAAAGAAUUAAUGUGACUAAAACUCUGCAUAUUUUUUUAAACUGAUCAGUGUAUUUUCAUGAGUUGAUAUCCAAGAAGACAGAACCUGUGUUGUUCUUUGAAAACGUAGCUCUGAUUGCAGUAUUCAUAUUGGAAAUGUAUCACUUUUUAAAGCGUAAAUGUGAUAAUCUAUAAAUCUUAAAUCAAACCAUUUGUUUGUCUCAUGUUCGCUUCCGUUUCACCACUAGAGGGAGACAUUGGACUAUAGCAGAAACAGUCAAUUACCAUAUUGGCUGUUACCAGUGCCUGAAUUAAACUAUUUAUUGUAAUCUGCCAUAUUUUAUCAAAACUUUUAACAUGUAUUAACUAGACUGGAUAUGCAUAUCAGAUGUCCCUGAUUCAAUUGUUUCUAACCAAAAUAAACAUUUUGGGUAUCAAUUCUUCCUAGGAAAAAAAUCAUGUCACGUUUGCCAUGCACGUGUUUUAGGCUAUACAAAUCAGAUAUCAAUAAUUUGUGAACAUUCUGGAUACUUGAAAUAUCAUUUUUACCAAGAAAAACUCCCAUUUAGGAUAACUACAAUCCGAUGGUUAGUAGUCAUAAUUCAGUUAAAAAUUAAAACAAAUGUUGUUCAAAAAAGGCAAUUGUGGAUAUCUGUAAUUGAAAACCCAACAACAUGAAUGGCAAAUGUGACAUUUGUCCUAGGAAGAAUGAUGUUGUGGAUAUCUUUCAUUACCAUCCAGGCUAGUGAGAAUACAUUUUUUGACUAGGAAAAAUGCUAUUAUGGAUAUCUAAAAUGCAAUAAAACGGCUUGCCAUACACAUUGUGUCAUCUGAUUGUAGGGGCAGUAGCUAUACUGACACAAUUCUGGCUCCAUGUUUUGAGAUUUUGUCACACAGUUCAACAGCUACAAUAACAGAAACCGGUGUCUUAUCAGUAAAGCCUCAUCUGUGAACAUUUUUUG